CGAAAGCCUGACGGAGCAAUACCGCGUGAGGGAGGAAUGCCUUUGGGUUGUAAACCUCUUUUCUCAGGGAAGAAGAUCUGACGGUACCUGAGGAAUAAGUAUCGGCUAACUCCGUGCCAGCAGCCGCGGUAAUACGGAGGAUGCAAGCGUUAUCCGGAAUCAUUGGGCGUAAAGCGUCCGCAGGUGGCUUCCAAAGUCUGCUGUUAAAGACUGGAGCUCAACUCCGGAACGGCGGUGGAAACUUGGAAACUAGAGUUCGGUAGGGGUAGCAGGAAUUCCCAGUGUAGCGGUGAAAUGCGUAGAUAUUGGGAAGAACAUCGGUGGCGAAGGCGUGCUACUGGACCGCAACUGACACUCAGGGACGAAAGCUAGGGUAGCGAAAGGGAUUAGAUACCCCUGUAGUCCUAGCCGUAAACGAUG
rnacentral:rRNA from 1 species